AGAGUUUGAUCCUGGCUCAGGAUGAACGCUGGCGGCGUGCCUAAUACAUGCAAGUCGAGCGAACGGACGAGAAGCUUGCUUCUCUGAUGUUAGCGGCGGACGGGUGAGUAACACGUGGAUAACCUACCUAUAAGACUGGGAUAACUUCGGGAAACCGGAGCUAAUACCGGAUAAUAUUUUGAACCGCAUGGUUCAAAAGUGAAAGACGGUCUUGCUGUCACUUAUAGAUGGAUCCGCGCUGCAUUAGCUAGUUGGUAAGGUAACGGCUUACCAAGGCAACGAUGCAUAGCCGACCUGAGAGGGUGAUCGGCCACACUGGAACUGAGACACGGUCCAGACUCCUACGGGAGGCAGCAGUAGGGAAUCUUCCGCAAUGGGCGAAAGCCUGACGGAGCAACGCCGCGUGAGUGAUGAAGGUCUUCGGAUCGUAAAACUCUGUUAUUAGGGAAGAACAUAUGUGUAAGUAACUGUGCACAUCUUGACGGUACCUAAUCAGAAAGCCACGGCUAACUACGUGCCAGCAGCCGCGGUAAUACGUAGGUGGCAAGCGUUAUCCGGAAUUAUUGGGCGUAAAGCGCGCGUAGGCGGUUUUUUAAGUCUGAUGUGAAAGCCCACGGCUCAACCGUGGAGGGUCAUUGGAAACUGGAAAACUUGAGUGCAGAAGAGGAAAGUGGAAUUCCAUGUGUAGCGGUGAAAUGCGCAGAGAUAUGGAGGAACACCAGUGGCGAAGGCGACUUUCUGGUCUGUAACUGACGCUGAUGUGCGAAAGCGUGGGGAUCAAACAGGAUUAGAUACCCUGGUAGUCCACGCCGUAAACGAUGAGUGCUAAGUGUUAGGGGGUUUCCGCCCCUUAGUGCUGCAGCUAACGCAUUAAGCACUCCGCCUGGGGAGUACGACCGCAAGGUUGAAACUCAAAGGAAUUGACGGGGACCCGCACAAGCGGUGGAGCAUGUGGUUUAAUUCGAAGCAACGCGAAGAACCUUACCAAAUCUUGANAUCCUUUGACAACUCUAGAGAUAGAGCCUUCCCCUUCGGGGGACAAAGUGACAGGUGGUGCAUGGUUGUCGUCAGCUCGUGUCGUGAGAUGUUGGGUUAAGUCCCGCAACGAGCGCAACCCUUAAGCUUAGUUGCCAUCAUUAAGUUGGGCACUCUAAGUUGACUGCCGGUGACAAACCGGAGGAAGGUGGGGAUGACGUCAAAUCAUCAUGCCCCUUAUGAUUUGGGCUACACACGUGCUACAAUGGACAAUACAAAGGGCAGCGAAACCGCGAGGUCAAGCAAAUCCCAUAAAGUUGUUCUCAGUUCGGAUUGUAGUCUGCAACUCGACUACAUGAAGCUGGAAUCGCUAGUAAUCGUAGAUCAGCAUGCUACGGUGAAUACGUUCCCGGGUCUUGUACACACCGCCCGUCACACCACGAGAGUUUGUAACACCCGAAGCCGGUGGAGUAACCUUUUAGGAGCUAGCCGUCGAAGGUGGGACAAAUGAUUGGGGUGAAGUCGUAACAAGGUAGCCGUAUCGGAAGGUGCGGCUGGAUCACCU
rnacentral:rRNA from 1 species